CACGUAUGUAUAGAGAGAAUCUAAUAAGGCUGGAAUCAUACUGUAUGUGCUUUGAGAAAUAAAAAAGUAUUACAGUUAAAUUUUACUGCAUUUAGUAGAAGAAAAAGAAACCUAGGAGACUGAAAAAACUGCUGAGCUUCAGGAAAUUGUUUCCUGACCAACAAGAGAUAAUUAGUUCCCUAAAAUCCCCUUUUUCUUCUCCAGAGCACUCUGAACUUCCCAAUCUGUUACCUUGUCUCCGAAGCAUAAUAUUUUCUUAAGACUCUCCCCGAGAUGCCCACUUAUCAUGAAGAACAGCUACAAAAUGUUCCAGCAAGUAUGAUCAGGUCCUGUGGGGUCUGAUUCAUCACCAGAGGGCCUCCUGUCCUGGUCACUCAGAUGUCUUCGUCCUCAGUGCUCAGAAAUUUGAGAUCAAAACCAGUUUUUUUUUUUUCAGAUAGAUUAGCCUGGGUGCUGUCUUCAGUCACUUGCAUGCAUCUUGCAAGCUCCUUUCUGAGGUGAGCAACCCACAAAUAUUCAGUAUUUGGAGCUAGAGGAAAUGAAAUUCAUCAUCUUCAGUUCAUGCAUGCUUUUAAUACCUACUCCCAGUGGGGUGCCUGGGUGGCUCAGUCAGUUGAGCCUCUGACUCCUGAUUCAGCUCAGGUCAUGAUCUCAGGGUUGUGACAUCAAGCCUGCAUCCGGCUCAGGGUAGAGUCCGCUUGAGAUUCUUUUCAUUUGCCCUCCCUCUGCUCUCUGGCUCUCUGGCUCUCUCACUCUCUCUCAAAUA
rnacentral:lncRNA from 1 species